UGGAUUUUUGGAUCAGAGA
rnacentral:miRNA from 1 species